GAUGAACGCUGACAGAAUGCUUAACACAUGCAAGUCAACUUGAAUUUGGGUUUUUUAACUUAGAUUUGGGUGGCGGACGGGUGAGUAACGCGUAAAGAACUUGCCUCACAGCUAGGGACAACAUUUGGAAACGAAUGCUAAUACCUGAAAUUAUGAUUAUAAGGCAUCUUAGAAUUAUGAAAGCUAUAUGCGCUGUGAGAGAGCUUUGCGUACCAUUAGCUAGUUGGAGAGGUAACGGCUCACCAAGGCGAUGAUGGGUAGCCGGCCUGAGAGGGUGAACGGCCACAAGGGGACUGAGACACGGCCCUUACUCCUACGGGAGGCAGCAGUGGGGAAUAUUGGACAAUGGACCAAGAGUCUGAUCCAGCAAUUCUGUGUGCACGAUGACGUUUUUCGGAAUGUAAAGUGCUUUCAGUUGGGAAGAAAAAAAUGACGGUACCAACAGAAGAAGUGACGGCUAAAUACGUG
rnacentral:rRNA from 1 species